AGCCUUUCCCCUAACCCCCAAAACCCAUCUCAGUCUCUCAUCUCUCUCAAAGAGACUAAACCAUAGCCGCCUCUAUAUCCUCCGCCGGCUCCGCCUUGCUCCGCCGCCCGGAAAUCGCCUUGCGACGACAGAGCUUCUCCAAACUACACCAAAUUAAGACCCUGUAAUCGCCUAUCCCUCCCCUUUCUAAAUCCACAAACCAUUUCCCUCAAAUCCUUACCAAACUGCUUGAAUCUUAGAUCUGGAAUCCAUGCACAAACCCUAAAUUGACCAAAUCACCCCAAAAUCAUACCCCACACUCCUCACACCCCUCUGAACCCUAAACUACAUUCAAUUUCCCAAAAACCCCCGCCAAUUUCUUCGAAUCUCAAAUCUAAGAUUUCCUGAACCCUAACUUUUUCCCUUCUUCUGAUUUUCGGUCAAUGAUUGGUUGUUUGAACCCCAAACUUUCAUUAAUCGACUGUUCUUGCUGAGAACAGUCGAUUAAUGUUAGUUCAAGUUUAUGUUACCCUAUGAAAGCUUGGUCAAAAUUCGUAGUUGGUCCGGUAUUUUAAAAUGAAUUUAGGUAUUUCUUUUCACUCUCCUACUUGUUUUUGUUUUUGUUUCUUUUUCCUUUUGCAUGUUCAGUUUCUUAUCUAGCCGCAUGUUUAGAUUUUCUCUUUUUCUUUGGCUGUUAGUUUGAUUACUGCAUCUGUUUUAUUAGAAUAACUGAAACAUGUUUUUAAAAUUUCAUCAUUGGAAAUUCGAUUUGCUUAGGUUCAGGUUUAAUUAGGUUUAAUAUAUUAGGUUUUGAUAAAUUAUUUGUUCUAUUUUUCCUUUUGUGUUUGUUUCUCUCUUAUGUUUGUUUUAAUAUUUAAUUAAGUUAAUUAAGAUAAUGUUAAGAGUUAAUUGAUAGCCUAUUUAGCCGAUUCCUGAUUAGCUUUAGAAAAUCUUAGCCUUAGCUUGAUUUAAUCUGUUUAAUUGAAACUAGUUGAGUUUGAUUUCUGUGUUUCUUUGCAUUAAGCAUUUUGGAUUUUUGAUAGUUGUUGUUUGGUUACAAAUUAAAUGCAAUUUUGUUUAGGAUUAGUUAGAUAAAACUUGUCGAUUAGGUUUAAACCUUAGAAUUGAAACUUAUAGCUUAGUUUAAUUUUCGAAAUAGAAUGUGAAUACCAUAGGGCUACAAAUUGAAGCAAGUUUAAGAAAUCCUAAUCAUCUAGUUGAUUCUAGAAAGUCCUAAAUAGAUUUCUAGAAUCACAAUAGGAUCUGAUUUAUUUAGAAUUGAAAUAUCUAGCAAUUGAAAGGGUAAAAGUGGGGUUUCACAUAAUAUAAAAAAUCAGAAUGUUCUAGAUUUUAGACAGCUACCCCAUUCUUAAUAAAAAUGUGCUGAAAUUGGGUGGGAAAAAGGACAUACAGCUGUCCAGAGAUGAUGUACUAUUCUGAAAUUUCAGAAUUUAGGUUAGAAUACUCUAUUUUGAUGCCAUAUUUGUGCACUCUAUAAAAAGAAAAGCAUUCACUCAUUCUAAAGGGGAUGGACCAACAUUUUCUGCAUCCAAAAGGCUCUGAAAGCAAAAAAAGAAAAAUUCCCUAAAACUUUUCUGAAAACUUCAGUUUUUUCUGGUUAGACUUCUAAGCUGAUUUUCUGAUACUCUGAUUUUGGGAGACAUUUGAGUGUUUGGAUUCUGGGUUUUUUGGGUGAUUUCAUACUACUGCUACUUGGUUUUGUUGGCUGCUCUUUCUUUAGAGUUUUUGAUCAACAUUUCAUCUGUCCACUACUUGGUUCUUGCUGUUGUAAGGUACUAAUUUUACCUCUUUAAAUGUACUACCUGCUUUGAAGUGAUAUAAUAUCAACAAAUUUGCAAGUUAUGUAUACUGAAUGAGUUUCAUGUGAUAGUUGAUUAAUCUAUUAUAGAUAUAGUAAUCUUACUGUUUGAGCUUAAAAUAGGGAAUGAGCUAGCAUGAUCCCCUUUUGUUUGGUUUACUAAUGCUUGUAGCUCCUUCUUUGAAAGAUGUUUAAUUUUGAAGAUUUGUUUUUACCUUAUAGUGAAUUUGAACCUUGGUUGCUGAAGUGAUCUUUCUUCUUUCUUUCUGCUAUGUUACUAUUUAAUUAGCAAUACACCAGUAAAUAGAAUCCCACAAGUACUGAAAUCUUUAUUUUGUUUUCUGUUGUUUUGUAUGUGAGUGGCAAUAAGGCAAAGAAAUCUCAAGGUUGGAAUUGAAUGCUGGCUUGUAAGAAACAUAUCUAUAGCUGAUUUCUUGCAAGUUGAAGCUGGUUUGAAGAAUUUUGUAACAACUGAAAGGUUCAGAAUUAGGAAGAAAUGUCAUUUUUUAUCUUAUCUUAAAAUUGCUCUUUCUUUAGACAUAUAGUUGUAUUAAGAAGCAUAUUGUAAAUUUGUGGACUGUUGGAACGUUUUAAUUUCAAAUUUUGAUUAUGUUUAAUUAUUAGUUUAGUUUCAUAACAAUAUGAAUUUUUGGUAAUAAGCAUAGCCUAUUAUCACAGAACUGUUUGAAUGUAAAACAAGUUGGGCCAGACUUGCAACAAGGCCCAAUCUGGAAAUCAUCUGAGCAAGUCUGGGUCCAGGAGGAUGGGCAUGGGCAUUAAACUCAAUAGUUUGACCCUCAAUUAUAAACUUUCCUUGUGAACUCUAAUGUAAAUCCAUUUCCGUU
rnacentral:lncRNA from 1 species